rnacentral:lncRNA from 1 species
CUAGCGCAGGGGCAGCGCAAGUUCCAGGCGCCCAAGCCAGGGAAGAGGCAGCGGCGGCCUCUGAAAGGAACCGGGGCCGCAGGAAAGACGGUCGUUUUACAGCUCCCGAGAAGGCGUGCGUCGGUCAGCAGCAAAAGCUUAAGAAGAAUCUAGAAGUCAGGAUCUGGAAGAAGAUCGAACAUGCCGUGGUGAUGAAAGCCAGCAACAGCCUGCCCAAGAAGCUGGCACUGCUGAAGGCCCCGACCAAGAAGAAAGGGGUGGCUGCUGCCACCUCCUCCAACAAGACACCUUCC